rnacentral:lncRNA from 1 species
CCAGGGUUAAUUAGUACCUAAAAUGCUACCUUUAGUUUCUGCAAUUGUUAUUAUGUUUCAUUGAUUCAGUCCUGUAGUUCAAUUGUUCCAGUGGAUUUUGCUAAAUUGUUUUCUAUCUUUAAUUAGUAAAUAAAAGGCCUCGGUUGGUUUCUGUAAUAAUUUCCUUCAAGCUCUCUAUAAUUGUUUAUUUAUUAGUUAUUACACAUAUAGAGUUCUUUAAUGUCUUUGUUUAUAAUAUGACAUUCCCUCAUUAGUUUUUUUGUUAUGUGGAGGGUAAUUUUCUUUUGCUGUGACUUGUGCUUUGUUAUGUGCAGGUUGCAGUCACAGGGACGAGCUGGCCGACCAUAUCAACAAGGUCAACGCAACAGAGUUGAAGGAAAUAUUAAGGUAAGAGGAAAAAUAAAUGCUACAGUCCCUCUUUAUGUUUGUAUCGUUCGGUUGUACCGUAAUUCCAUGUUUUCUGCAAUGCCGCUUCUCUGUCAUUCAUGUCUCACUCUUGGUUAGCUAUAGAGAAAUAUUCCAUGUCUAUUGCCCUGAUUUCCAGUCCACUUUAUGAAAGCCUGUUGUAACUGUUUGCGUAAGUGCUUGUAUGAGCAUGCUAAAUAUCAUGUGUCCGGCUAAACUUAUAUGUUUGCUUGUCUUUGGAAAUAUUCACCCGUGGUGUUGUGCAUUGGCAUGCAUUUAUAUUGGCAACUCUGUUUUUAUUUCUCUUUUGUGAUAGUUUUAGGUGAGAACACAAUACUUAUAGUUGUGACAUACACUACAGGAUUUUUAUAAUUAUUAAUUCUUUGAAUGUGAUCGUGCCAGCGUGCCCCUAGAUAUGUGUGCGUCAACUUAGUUGAUGUGCCUACUGUGUUUCAGGCGUGUUGUUCUUUCUUGAAUAAUAGUAAUAAAUUGACAGGUGCUUGCUUCUAUUAGUUAGAGAUCUUACAUUAGGAUGUACUGUGUUGUGCUUUGAUACAAUUGUCUUGGUUUAGACAGCAACUGAAUCAAAUCACUGAUUAGUAGAAUUAAUCAUGAGAUGAGGCACAGAAGACUAGAGAGGGGCAGCCGUCGUAUUUACGAUGAAUGAAAGUGGCUCAUGGCUCCAUUCAAGUAAUGGAUAGAUAGUAGUUGCUAAUUAUACUUAUACUGAUUGCAAGCAUAAUUAGCCUAUUAUCUAUGUAGUUUGCUGAUUAUACACACUCUUUUCGUUCGUGUUUCACCCUCCUAAGGCAUUUAUUCUGUCUGCCACAGGUUGCUUUUGUCCUCUGAUCUGCUGUUUGGUCUUCAUCUAUUACUCUGUUGGUUCAUCAUCUGCUCGGUUGGAGGUUGUUUUUGGUCCUGCCAUUUGUUCUUGUUAGAGCUCACUAAAAUAUAACUUGAAGGUCCUCUGCAGUGCUGGUUUUUACUAAUUUUUGCUUUAAUCUAGAACAAUAGGCAGUAAUUCCACAUUUGUACUUGGCGUCCCGUGCUUUCUUGGAAUAAAUAUGUCCUGUUUUUAUUAGCUAUGAAGAUCAUUCUACCUUUCCGUCAGUGUGCACCUCCUUUGAUUCUGCAUCCUGUUAAUUUUGUAAAAAAUUCUGUUCCAUGUUUGCUUACAGUACAAGACAUACUUUCCUAACUUUUUUGUGUGAUAUAUCUGAAUGCUUUUGUAAUGCUAAUUUACUGUGUUGUUAAUCUGCAGCAAGGUGUUCUAUUUUCGAUUUCCGUUCUGACCGUUGGAUUCCUAUUCUUAUUUUUGUCUUCACUACUAGAGUUGAUUGAUGCGCCCCGUCGAAGUCUCAUUUCCAGGCGGGACACAACAUAGAACCGUAGCACCCCUAUGCUUGGGAAGCUCGACAUUUAUACAUUCCCCAUUGAUUGAGCAGGUCAGCACACCUACCAUCUCUAGCACCCCUGCUUCCGAAAAUAUAGGCAAAAGAAUGAAGCUGCGAUUAAAAUUUUAGACCUUCCUGUAAAUAGACAGUCCAAUAUUUCAUACUGAGAAUAUAUUGAUGUUAUGAUCACAUACAUUACUAUAAAUAGUCUAAGCUUUCUUAUGAAAAAUAGUUUAGACAAUCCAAGCUUUCUUACUAAAAAUCUUUGCAGUUAAAUUUGAAAUGCUUAUAUGUUGUAUCACCUCUUGGAAUUCUUUUCUGUAAAACAUUACCCUUUGAUUUAGUGAUUUGUGUUCAUUACUGGACUUUGUAUUACUUGCGCAUUUGUAUAGUACAAAUUCUAUUUAGCAUUCAUGUUUACCCUUUGAUUCAAUGAUAUAAGAAAGAUGCUCUCAAACCAGAUCUUAGUAGUAAGAUGCAUGGAAGAGGAAAUCUAAGACUAACCUAAACAAAAACUGCAUGCAGUGUAUGACGACUGCGACUUUCCAAGAUUGGAGUCUCUUCCAGAAUUUCAAUUGUAAAAGCUCAUGCUUAAGAAAUGAGUAGUAGGGUAUAUUUUUCGUGUAGAGCUUAUUCGUGAAGCAACUAUUAUUGGGUAUUGUAAGAUGAUAGGGAAGGUUUCUGCUUUGCCAUUGACAGCCCACCGAACACACCCACCGCGAGGAGUUGCUUAGACGAUGAGGUCAUUUACGAUACCGAUGGCACAUGCUACAAUUAAUGACACUACCUGAUGUGAAUGACUUUAUAUCUUAGUUACCAUAAGCUGAGUGGCCAAAGCUAUCUAUACAAUGCAUCUCUGCCUAUGUAGCUUUGAAGAGAUCUCUUGCCUUUCUUUUGGCCUAUAAAGCGACCAGGCUAUGUAAUAUGCUAUGUAUGAACAUCAUAUCCAAAAGUCAAUUUUCUUAUGCUUCAAGGAUUCGGUCACUAAAUAUUCUUAUUUGCAUGGUUUGAAA